GGAAUAGACCCUUCAGCAACCCAAACGUCUCACCUUGCCGGCUCUCAAAGACUUCUGCUCUCUGCUUGCUCUCCUGUACUAUCCAAAUCAUGAUGCAAGAUCCUUCUCCCUUGGAAUCUUUCUGAAGUCCUCACCUCAGCUAGUCUCAGUUAUUUCCAGCCCAAGCCUGUGCUGAUGAAUGACUAUGUGUUUGUGUGUGUGUGCGUGUGCCCAUGUGCGUAUGUGCAGCUGUGUGCGUGCAAAUGGUGUGGGUGAGUGUGAAGUAAGAUUCCCAGUGGGGAGGCUCAGAAUAUUUCUACCACAGAAAGAGGGAGCAGAGCUCAGGGGUUAUUCUUGGCAGCAGCAGAGAAAACUGAUAUUCCUGUGCUGAGGUGAGAGUGCUGCCUCACUCUCCUGUUGGCACCAGGUCAGAAUCCAGGGUAUGGAGAGAAGCCUUUAGCUCCAAGAAAACUCAGGAGGUAGACCUAACUGUGAGAUAUUUACCCUGAGUUGCCUUUAGGAACCCUGGAGUCCAGGUACAGGUAUAUAAAGGAAGAGAAGCCCAAUCUUCAAGCCAAAUCCCUAGGAAGGCUUCAUCAAAAGAGGAUCUCCCCCCAUGCUCCUAGCCCCAUCUACAAGAGGGGUCUCCAAAGGCUGAACAUUGCUUGUGGGUAGCAAGGAAUAGAGUAGUGAAGAGUGAUUCCUUCUUGGGACAAUGGCCACACUCCCCUAUAGUUUCUGCCAUAAAUCAAAUUUAGAGGCCCAAGGAAUUCAUCACACUACAACAAAGCAAUAGCCUAAACAAACGCACUGAUGAUGACGAGUACAGAAAUUUCCACAGGCUAGUAAGGAGCUCUGAUAUGUGUCUUGAGGGUACAUAAAGAACAGACUGAACUGGAUGGUAGGUCCCAGACCAUGGUGUUCCUUGAAGGUCUUUUUGAAAGGUUUGGGCUUUAUCCUGAAGGCAGUUUGAGGAGUAGGGGGUGUAAUCCAUGAAAGAGUUUAGGCAGGGAGGUGACAUAAUCAGCUUUUGAUCUGCAGUCACUUUGGUGGCAAUGUGGAAAACAGACUGGAUGGAAGCAAGAUUUAGGUACAGAGGAACAAAGAAGAGAUUGCGAAGGUUUCACUGGCACCAUAUAUAUGGAGGGAACCUGGGAAAAGUGGAUCAUCAAGAGAUGCUUAAGGGAUAGACUUAAUAGAACCAGGACAGUGGCAAGGGAAUGUAGAGCAGGACUAGAUUUCAAACAGAUGAUGGGAAAUCGUGGAAGAUGGGUCGGAGUUGAAGGAAGAUUUGAAGGAAAGAGGCAAGAGUUGAGUCAGAGGUGACUCAAGCUUUACAAAGAGCCAGGAACAGAAAAGAUAAACAAAAGGUCCUCAGGGAAGUGUUGGUGUGGUUGGAGGGCUUUGGGGACAACAGGAGUGCAGAAGCCUGUCUUGACCAGUUAAACUGGGGGUCUCAGCUGUCAGCCUAGUGUAAAUGCCCAGCAGGCAGUUGGGAAGAGAGGUCAGCACUGGAAAGAGCAACCUGAAUUUGACAGCAUGAGAUGACUCAGCCCACAAGCCGGGCCAGUGCUAUGUCACUGAUCCAGAACACAGGCUCAGACAAAUUGGACAAUCCUAGCCUGCAACUUGGCACAAGGCACAUGCCAUGCUGCCUCCCAGCAACAGGUUCUCACAAUCUAAAAUCCACCUCCUAUAUGUAUGGCUUGAAGGAGAUGCAUUUAACUUAGAUUUGGAAUAUAAAAUGUGUAUACAACCAUUUAUUCCAUUAGUACAUUUACUUUCCACCUCAGAACUAAAUGCCUCUACUAAUUAAAUACAUUUAUUUUAACUUCAGAAGCAUUUAUUUCCAAAAUAAGGACACGUUAAUUAUCUGCAAAGUGAAAUUAACCCCAGGAUGCUAAUCUAUAUAUUCAUCUGCCUGGAUAUGUGUUACCCAUGGAUGCCUGGUUGUGCUGCCAACCGUUGCACAACACUGUUCAACGCACUCUUACCACCUGCAUCCCCAUCCUUCUUGUUAUCAUCUUACUGAGAACUGCAUGGUUGAUGUGGAAUGUGUAAUUUAAAUGUUACCACACUCAUUCCAAACCUAAGAAGACUACAGAUACAGGAUUCACAAGCAGGUUCUGAUAUAAUUCAAGGGCAUUUUUACCGGGAGAGGAGGUAACUAUCUCCAACUACCCUGAGGAGAUUUUUGCUCAUGUUUUAUGAGAACUGACACCUUAAUUCUCUUGUCACUGACAUUUCCUAGACAUGGGUACAUAUCUGUAAUUCUCAUGAUAAGUCAUUAGUAUUAAUUAAGCCACAUCAAUAGCAUAAUUUAGCUAGUCAGUCAACAUUUUCUGAGAGCUCUCAGUGGGGGUAGUCCUAACUCAGAGCAUUGGAGAGUUAAUAAGGGAAAAGAAAAUGCAAGAAUAGAAAGAGUUUUCCAGAAAGAUGGGCAUUCUUGCCUUCACAGCCACUGGGGAGUCACUUGCAGAAACUUCAAGAAGGAGUGAGGUCUUCUUUUAUGAUAUAACAUCUGUUUUUCUCAUCUGCACAACGGAGCAGAAAUACCUUGCAACAGUCUGCCAUCAAGGGGAGGAGCUUCAGAGAGAGUAGGCUUCAAUGCCCCCAGGGAAAGACAAAUGGAAUGCAAUUGGUUCCAGCAGGAAUUUGGCAACUCUGUCGACCAAAUUCUGGCCUUUGGUCUACCAAGUCUGAUCAGUCAGAAGUGAAAAAGUAAGAGAGCCCUCUCAGUUAACAGAAUGUCUUCUCUCUUCCUUCCUUUACAUUCCUCUCUCUCCCUGCCUCCUUCCCUUUCUCAUUCCUUUUAUCCCAUCCUUUCUUUCUUCCAGAAUAUUUUUUGAGCACAUACUAUGAGCAUUUACUAUUUACUUAGACACUAUGCUAAGCAGUGGAGGGACAACAGUGAACAAAUAAAAGUUCCUUCUUCUAAGCAGCUAGGAUUCUAGUGAGGGGAGAGAAUCAUAAGUAAACAAAUGAACAAGCCAAACAAUAUGUCAGCUAGUGAGAAGUGUUAUAAAAAAAAAUGAGAAUACAGGAACAGAAGUGAUGAGAGUGGAUGGCAUUUUAACUUCAGUUAGUUCCCUGUGCAGCAUAGACAUAGUAGAAGUCAGCAGGAAGGAGAAUAUUCCUACUCUUGGAUACCCAGACUCAUGAGGCAUGCAUGCAGUGUUAGUAGCAGUUGAAAUAAAUGUUGCAUUUUUAAAGUGCUAGCUUGGUGCUACUGGAACUACAUAUUUUAUACAUGCAAAUGGCUUUCCUAGCCAAGUACCAUGUGCUCAUGCCUACAAAAAAGACAAAGGCCAUUACCACCUCCUUUUUCCCUUGGGCUAGCACCAACUUGACUCCCCAAAGGAAGGCUCAAGAGCUUUAAUCUGGAGAUUCCCUGACUUCUGAUGAGUGGUAGGACACAUAAAAAGGAAAUGCAAGUCAGAAGUUAUGCUUCUGCUUCCAUGAAUGAGACGUGGGUUGGGCUCAAGGUGAAUAAGAGGCUAGAACUGAAUGGUUUGAGAGUGGUCCAGAAGAUGGCAUUGUCUAACAUCAGGGUUAACUGUGGCUACAUUGAAGAAUUCCAAAUUAGGGAUUUAAACCCCAAGUCCUCUGGUCCCCUAUGCAUCCUUGAUUGUAGUAUGUAGAAGAACAUGGAUGUGCAUAGGCCAUUUUACACAUAAAUUUUUUAAAUACACUAAAGUACACUAAUGUGUUAUACACCAAGUUCAAGAUGCUUGAACUUUGCUUUGCUUGGCAGUUGGUAGUUCUAAGAACUAGACUCAAGAUGUGGGCAUUAUCAAAUAGCUCCAAUAAAGGAGGACAGAGGAAAGAUUGCCUUCAUAUGCCCGUGGAUGUCUACCAACUUGAAAGGAUAUAUCAUGCUAUUGAGGUUCCUGUCCCUUCUUAGUGACCAGAGAAAAUGGUAAUUUAAGAUGGAAUUAUCUAGAAGACUUAGCCUAUGUAGAUGACUAUUAUAUAUCAAUCUGUGCAUUUGUUUUGGUCCAUCUCCUCCCAGGUUGAUGGAUGCAGCAAACCACCAUGGCACGUGUAUACCUAUGUAAGAAAACUGCACGUUCUGCACAUGUAUCCCAGAACUUAAAGCAUAAUUAAAUGAAUAAUAAAACUUGCUAUGCUAUAACUUGACAAAGCAAAAGACUGGAAAAAAAAGGGUGGUUUUUCAAAUGGGAUAUUUUAGCCCUGAGAUAAAAAAGAAACAAGCCAGAAGUAUUAAUAAAAGGAACAACAGAAGCUGCUAUGAGUAAAAACAGAGCAUAGGAUUGAUCAUUACUUAAUUCAACAAGCAUAUGUUUUCCACUCACAUCACAGUUCAAAUGGAUUUUUGCCAACCAGUCUUUCACUUGGUGCCUUGGGAUCCUGGCUUCUCAAAAAAAAAAAAAAAAAAGAAGAGGAAGAAGAAGAAAAAGAACGAAAAAGAAUGGAUGCUUCAUGAUAAUUUCAUGUACUGCUGCAGCAUUAGCGCCUAAAUAAUGUCUGGCUCAGAGUAGAUACUCAACAAAUAUUUGUUGCAUGAAUGAAUGACAUAACUGCUUGCAACACAUCUUUGGGAGAGCACAAGCUGCAGCCCCUUAAGGUACUGGGCUGCCUAGAGAGGGCUAUUUGUUUUCUUAUGAUUCACUUUUGAGAGUUCUCUGUAUAAAUCUAAAUAUAAGUCUUUGUCAGGUAUUUGCUUUGCAAAUAUUUUCUGUGCCUUGUCUUUUUAUUAUUUCAUCAGCGUCCUGUAAAGGAGAUGAAUUUUUUUAUUUUGUCCAGUUUAUCAUUUGGUUCUUUUAUGGAUUGUGCUUUUGGUGUCAUAUCUAAGAAAUCUUUGCCUAACCCAAAGUCACAGAUUUUCUUCUAAAAGUUUUACAGUUUUAGGUUUUACAUUUAGGUCUGUGUUCUAUUUCAGAUUAAUUUCUGAUUACAGUGAGGUAGUGGUCAAGGUUCUUUUUUUGCAUUUGAAUACUCAAUUGUUCCAGCAUCAUUUAUUGGAAAGAUUAUUCUUCCAGCUCCAUUCAUGUCCCUGCAAAGGAAAUGUUCUCAUUCCUUGUUACAGCUGCAUAGUAUUCCAUGGUGCGCAUGUACUACAUUUUCUUCAUCAAAUCUGUCACUGAUGGGCAUUUGAGUUGAUUCUUUCUCCACAAACACAGCAAUAUUUGCAAUAGCACAUUACUGUAAACAAUGUAAAUAUUCAUCAAUAGGGGACCAGUUAAAUAAAUUCCAGUAUAUUUAUCCAGUAGAAAUCCACGGCACCAUUAAAAAGAAUGUAAUAGCUCUAUACAUACUUAUUUUGAGCAAUAUUUAUGCCCUGUUAAGUAGACGUAACAUUUUAAAUUGAAAUAAAAUUAAUUUUCAUAUAUUUUCCUGUUAACCACAUGUUCACAUCUUUUCAUCCGAUAAAUAUUCAUUGAGAUGUCCUUGUGUGCAGGCACUGUUCUAGGCACUGAGGAUACAGCAGUGAUAUCUAGUGGGAGAAAGCAGACAAUAAACAAAUAACUAGUGUGAUGGUUAAUUGUAUGUGUCAACUUGGCUGAGCUAAGUGAUGCUCAGAAAGCUGCUAAAACAUUAUUUCUGGAUGUGUCUGUGAGGGCGUUUCCAGAAGAAAUUGGCAUUUGAGUCAGUAGACUGAGUAAAGAAGAUCCAACCUGACCAAUGUGAGUGGCCAUCAUCUAAUCCAUUGAGGGCACAAAUGGAACAAAAACGUCAAAGAAGUGAUGGAGUCAUGCUAUGAUGCUCAGAGUGGUCUUGAGCUCCUGGCCUCAAGCAAUCCUCCCACCUCAGCCCCCUGAGUAGCUGGGAUUAUAGGUGAGAGGCACCAUGCCUGGAUUUGCUUUAUAAAUUUUGAUAUGUUACUUGGUGCAUAGAUAUUCAUUGCUGUUAGACCUUCAUUAUGUGUUGUACCCUGCCCUUCUUUGGUUCACUUUUCCUUGAAUUCAGUCUUGUCUGAUAUUAAUUUUCAGCUGUCUGCUUUCUUCUUAUUUCCAUUUUUCUAAUAUGCUUUUGCCUACUCAUUUGCUUUCAAUUUUUUCUGAGUCAUUUCAUUCUAGAUGAGUAUAUUACAGUCAGUACUUAAUUGGGUUUUUCUUUGUCACUGAAUAUGAGUGUCUCUUUUCCUGUGUAUUGAUAGGGUAGAUAUGUGUAGUAUGAGUGUUACAAUUUUUUAAAAAACUUUGAUUUCUCU
rnacentral:lncRNA from 1 species